rnacentral:lncRNA from 12 species
ACAGAAGCAGAAAUUGAGUCAGUUUGGGAACUAGAGAAUGUCGCUUGUUCAAGGUCAUGCUUUAUUUUUAUUUUUUUAAAGAUUUUAUUUAUUUAUUUGACAGAAAGAGUGAGACAGCACAAGCAGAGGGAGCAGCAGAGGGAGAGGAAGAAGCAGACUCCCUGCUGAGCAGGGAACCACAUGCGGGCUCCAUCCAACCCGAGAUCAUGACCUGAGCCAAAGACAGACACUUUACCAACUGAGCCACCCAGGCACCCCUCAAGGUCAUGCUCUAAAACCAGGUUUCUCUUCCUCUAACCUUAACCACUACACUAUAGAUGAUGUAUCUGACAGGAUGAGUGAGCAGCUGGGGUGCAUAUGGAGUGUGUGUUGUGGGUGCAUGUUCACUAGUUGGGGGGUGUGAGGGCGUGACCACAGGGGCUAUGUACGGGUGUACAGCUACAAGUGUGUGGGCAGGUGCAUGAGUGUAGUGGGGGUGGGGAUGCUCCAUGGAUGAGCCAGAUUUCCUGCAGAAGAACACACUGGGUUCCUCACAUCAUUGUAGAACUGAGAUUCUGAGCUUUGAGAUGCAAGUUGGAAUUUCAACUUGCCAUAUGAGAUGUUUGGAGGCCCUCAUAAUUUUACUCGCCCCCCCUGGGAAGGCCACUAUAGGCCCUUUACACAAUCACUGGGAGAUGCUCUCUACUGAAAUGCCCAUUUUAAGUCUCUAGCUAAUAAAGAAGAGUUUUUCUGAUGACAACUUGUUUUCUACUAGGUUAGGAAAAUCAGAGUCUCAGAGAACCCAGGAGUUCUCCUGGAGGAGCCAUAUGAAUGACCUUAAAUGAAGGAUGGUUGUCAGACAUUUCUCUUUUUGGACUCCACUUUUGAGGGAGUGUCUGACUCAAGCUCCCCAGUGUCGAAGCGUCCAUCCAGCUUUCCUGCUGGCUGGGCAGAAAUGUGAUUUCUGGAAUAAGAAGUGUGGGCUUUUUGUCUUUUCUCUUAAUGCCUCAAGGGACAAAAGAACUCUUCCAGUGUUUUCUUGUUUCAGAACAGUUCACUUGGCCCACUUCAUGAAUAUUGAUAAACAUCAGAUAGCCAUUUCCGUUCAUUGUGGAGUUGACUCACCUGGACUUCAGAGGUACUUUCCACCAGUUCCCUUUAGGUGCUUAUGCCCCAUGGAAGUAUGCACUGGUGGUUCAUAUUAAAGCUUUGGCAAAACACAAUCAGAGCUCAACAAUGCUUCAUGCAAAUCAACAGCCAUAAUAAGGUACGUCAAGGCAGGCUCUUGACAUACAGGAGCAAAACAAAAUGUAUUUUACACCCAAAAUAAUGAGCAGUAACACCUCUAUCAUGGAAUUUCUCUGAUUUUCAUCCUGAUGGAAUUAGCCAAGUUAUUAUGCAAGAAAGUGUAGAAUAGGUAUGUAUGGGAUGAUUUUAAUGAUGAUGUAAUUUUAAAAGUCAGUUAUGAAACAUACAGUAUCAAUGAAAUUUUUCAAAAUCAAUGGAUUGCUUCAUUAGGCAGCUUAACUUGACCCUAGAUCUAAUAUUACACCUGUAUCUUCCAAAACUAUUCGUGAUAAUAAUAGCUAAUAUUAAUUACCACGGAACAAAUACCAUUUAUCAUGGUAACUCAUUUAACCAAUUAUUUCCAUUCUCAUGUGCAGUUGGUUUAUUAAAGAGUGUACAUCUUCCUUGUACAGGUUUCUAUUUUUUCAGACAUUUCAAAAAAAGAAAAUAUGAAGAAAAUGUUCCUUUAUAUAUAAGAUUUGUAACCAAACACAUUAUUUACUAGGAACUGUGUUUCAGAAUCAGUCAACUCAAAAAGUACAGCUACAGCAAAUAAAACAUUUGCUCUCUGCA